UGGGUAAAAGAGGUUACUCGUCCUCUGCGUGCUGCUACGCGGGCUGGCUUGACCUCGUCACGCUGCAGGUGGCCCCUUUCUGUCCUUGGUCCCAACCGCCGAGCGAGUUGUGUUUCUCUCUAGGUUUCUCUAGGAGUUACAGCGCCUGUUUCGGUUCCGGAUGAGUGGUCUCCUUGUGCUCGUCUCUUCCUCUGUGCCUCCCGUCUCAUCCCACUUCCCCCGCCUGCAUCUCCUCGUCUCACCCUCAUCCGCUCGCCAUUGUCGCUCCUCGUCUGCUUGUCUCGCCCUCAUCCGGUUGUUCCGUCAUGGCUCCUCGCGCUGCUGCUGUUGCGUUUGGCUAGGGGCUGUUGCGUCUGGUUUGCUCUCUGCUUGUGCGUCUGCUUAAUCCUUCUUUGUGAGGUCCUGCUUUCCGCUGAUAUCCUCGCUCCCGGUUCGUGGAAGGCCUGCUGCAGUUUGGUUCACCUGAUGCCCCGAGCCUUGUCUUUCAUCUUACCAAGGUUUACAUAAAGAGGGAGAAUGCCGACAGCUGGAAUUCUGGGCUGGAAAAUGAGCAAAUAUUAGAGACCUAUUCUGCACAACUCCAAAAGUCCUGAAACUCCACGGAAG